rnacentral:rRNA from 1 species
AUUGAACGCUGGCGGCAUGCCUUACACAUGCGAGUCGAACGGCAGCACGGGUGCUUGCCCCUGGUGGCGAGUGGCGAACGGGUGAGUAAUACAUCGGAACAUGUCCUGUAGUGGGGGAUAGCCCGGCGAAAGCCGGAUUAAUACCGCAUACGAUCUACGGAUGAAAGCGGGGGACCUUCGGGCCUCGCGCUAUAGGGUUGGCCGAUGGCUGAUUAGCUAGUUGGUGGGGUAAAGGCCUACCAAGGCGACGAUCAGUAGCUGGUCUGAGAGGACGACCAGCCACACUGGGACUGAGACACGGCCCAGACUCCUACGGGAGGCAGCAGUGGGGAAUUUUGGACAAUGGGCGAAAGCCUGAUCCAGCAAUGCCGCGUGUGUGAAGAAGGCCUUCGGGUUGUAAAGCACUUUUGUCCGGAAAGAAAUCCUUGGCCCUAAUACGGUCGGGGGAUGACGGUACCGGAAGAAUAAGCACCGGCUAACUACGU